GAUUCUCAUGGAAAAUACUUCCCAUGGCUGGCAUGGGAGUUGAAGAAUUGUUGCAUGUGCAGCCAAAGUCUAGUGCUUGUGUUGCUCAUUUCUAUAUGUGCUAAAUGGAGGAUUUCUUUUUCAUCCGAAACCCUAGUAUUGCAGGAGAUAGUUGCUUUAUGGAUUUGAAGGUAGGUCGCUAACUGUUCCAAGAAGAUUCAAAGGGAUUAUGAAGCAUAGGAUUGAAGAUUUAUAUAAGGUAAUCAAAUGCAUACCUGGGGGGAUAUACCCGACAGAUCCUCGUAGAAAAGCAGUUGUCGUAGUAACAUGUCCUCUUGGUUUGUCACCUGAAAUGAGCUUUCCAAUACCAAAAUCUGCUACAUGAGCCACCAUAUCAUCGUCCAAAAGAACAUUUUGUGGUUUCAGGUCACAGUGAACAACUUGAACAGGACAACCCUCAUGAAGAUACUCCAAGCCAUUUG